rnacentral:rRNA from 1 species
CGGGGGAGCAAGCGUUGUUCGGAUUUACUGGGCGUAAAGGGCGCGUAGGCGGCCAGCACAAGUCAGUUGUGAAGUCUCCGGGCUUAACUCGGAAAGGUCAACUGAUACUGUGCGGCUAGAGUGCAGAAGGGGCAACUGGAAUUCUCGGUGUAGCGGUGAAAUGCGUAGAUAUCGAGAGGAACACCUGCGGCGAAGGCGGGUUGCUGGGCUGACACUGACGCUGAUGCGCGAAAGCCAGGGGAGCGAACGGGAUUAGAUACCCCGGUAGUCCUGGCCUUAAACGAUGGAUGCUUGGUGUCUGGAGUUUUAUAGUCUCCGGGUGCCGUAGCUAACGCGUUAAGCAUCCCGCCUGGGGAGUACGGUCGCAAGACUG